GACGAACGCUGGCGGCGUGCUUAACACAUGCAAGUCGAGCGGGGAUAGUAAGAAGCUUGCUUUGAACUAUUCUAGCGGCGGACGGGUGAGUAACGCGUGAGCAACCUCUCCUCUACUGGGGAAUAACACAGGGAAACUUGUACUAAUACCGCAUAAGACCACGCUACCGCAUGGUAGAGGGGUCAAAGAUUUAUCGGUAGAGGGUGGGCUCGCGUCCGAUUAGGUAGUUGGUGAGGUAACGGCCCACCAAGCCGACGAUCGGUAGCCGACCUGAGAGGGUGAUCGGCCACAUUGGGACUGAGACACGGCCCAA
rnacentral:rRNA from 1 species